rnacentral:rRNA from 2 species
CACCUUCGGGUGAGCGGCGGACGGGUUAGUAACGCGUGGGAACAUACCCUUUUCUACGGAAUAGCCUCGGGAAACUGAGAGUAAUACCGUAUAAGCCCUUCGGGGGAAAGAUUUAUCGGGAAAGGAUUGGCCCGCGUUAGAUUAGAUAGUUGGUGGGGUAAUGGCCUACCAAGUCUACGAUCUAUAGCUGGUUUUAGAGGAUGAUCAGCAACACUGGGACUGAGACACGGCCCAGACUCCUACGGGAGGCAGCAGUGGGGAAUCUUAGACAAUGGGCGCAAGCCUGAUCUAGCCAUGCCGCGUGUGUGAUGAAGGUCUUAGGAUCGUAAAGCACUUUCGCCAGGGAUGAUAAUGACAGUACCUGGUAAAGAAACCCCGGCUAACUCCGUGCCAGCAGCCGCGGUAAUACGGAGGGGGUUAGCGUUGUUCGGAAUUACUGGGCGUAAAGCGUACGUAGGCGGAUUGGAAAGUUGGGGGUGAAAUCCCAGGGCUCAACCCUGGAACUGCCUCCAAAACUAUCAGUCUAGAGUUCGAGAGAGGUGAGUGGAAUUCCAAGUGUAGAGGUGAAAUUCGUAGAUAUUUGGAGGAACACCAGUGGCGAAGGCGGCUCACUGGCUCGAUACUGACGCUGAGGUACGAAAGUGUGGGGAGCAAACAGGAUUAGAUACCCUGGUAGUCCACACCGUAAACGAUGAAUGCCAGUCGUCGGGCAGUAUACUG